CAGGCUAUUGCAUUUUCUCCAUUGGAGCAGCAAGUGCUGAAGAAGGUUGUUAUCUUCUCCUUCUACCCAUUAUUAGUUUACCUUCUGUUGAUCCACUAAAAUUUUCCUCAGAAAUGCUAUUACUGAAAACAUGAUUUUGGCUAUUUGAACCUCGAUGUGGCAUGCAUGACAUUGGAGGUUGGUAUGUUGGGAACCGUAAACUCGAUCUCCAGAAAGGCAGCUGAGCUGAAUCUAACACACUGCCAAGUGAUGCAGCUAGUGAAUCCCUUUCGCCCAUGGAUGCAAGAAGAUCAUGCGGUGAUAGUAAUCCUAGUGACAACCGUUGAUUUCAUUGUAUUGUUUGGUAGGAACGGAUGUUAGAACGCUGGAGUGAAUGUAUUGUGUUUAAAUUUAGUUUUUGAGUGAUCUGAUAAUGCUACUUAAAUUUUUAGUUUCAAAAACUAAUGGUACUUUAUGAUAACA